rnacentral:rRNA from 1 species
CCAGACUCCUACGGGAGGCAGCAGUGGGGAAUAUUGCACAAUGGGGGAAACCCUGAUGCAGCGACGCCGCGUGAGUGAGGAAGUAUUUCGGUAUGUAAAGCUCUAUCAGCAGGGAAGAAAAUGACGGUACCUGACUAAGAAGCCCCGGCUAACUACGUGCCAGCAGCCGCGGUAAUACGUAGGGGGCAAGCGUUAUCCGGAUUUACUGGGUGUAAAGGGAGCGUAGACGGCGGUGCAAGCCGGAUGUGAAAGCCCGGGGCUCAACCCCGGGACUGCAUUUGAAACUGGGAGGCUAGAGUGUCGGAGAGGGGGGCAGAACUCCUGGUGUAGCGGUGAAAUGCGUAGAGAUUAGGAGGAACACCGGUGGCGAAGGCGGCCUCCUGGACAAUGACUGACGUUGAGGCUCGAAAGCGUGGGGAGCAAACAGGAUUAGAUACCCGCGUAA